CCCCGCCCGUCCCCGCCGCAUCACCCCUGUCCAGCUGGGCGGGGAUUGCUGUACGACUCUGUAAAGUCUGUGAGUCACUGCACAACCCAUCAAUCCAAUUAAAUGUCUUGAGCGAGCCGAGCAGGCGGUGCUGCCGCCCGCCGCCGCUCGCCCCGCCGCGGCCGCCCCUGCUCCUGCUUGCAGCGCCCCUCUGAUCCAUGGCUGUCUGUCUGUACUUGUUACGGUGUAACAUCCUCCUCCUCCUUCUCCUCCUCCUCCUCGGGAGCCGCUGCAACUUCCCCUCAGCCAGCCUCCUCCUCUGCCUGGGGACUGCAAAGGCAUGGGAUAGACCCAGAGCCGCUUCCCUCUGUCUCCCCUCCAGCCCUCGCUCAAUUUUCCCCCCUUUAAAUUAAAGUCUGUUCCUCGCUCCUCGUCGUUUUAGAGAUUUAUUGGUUGGUCUAUUAUUUCCCCUGAUUUUAUUUUCCCUCUCUGGGGCAGAGAUCGUAGGGGCCGGUGGGUUUAUUUUAGGGAGGGGGCGCUCCAUCACCCCACCCCUCCGUUUCUCCUUCUCCCUUUUCGGCCGUGACUUGAUUUCCCCGCUCCUCUGCGCUCCCACCCCUCGAACUCACCGUCCUGUACUCGAGUGACGCACGGAACACCCCCCGCCCACAGCCCAGACGCCCCCUCCCUCGCUGCCACCCCGACCCGUCUCGGAGCUGGACUGGGUGCCGACUUCUUCGCAGAAGGAUAUAUGUUGGGUAAAGGAGGAAAACGGAAGUUUGAUGAGCAUGAAGAUGGGCUGGAAGGCAAAAUCGUGUCUCCCUGUGACGGUCCAUCCAAGGUGUCUUACACCUUACAGCGCCAGACUAUCUUCAACAUUUCCCUUAUGAAACUCUAUAACCACAGGCCCCUGACAGAGCCCAGCUUGCAAAAGACCGUUUUAAUUAACAACAUGUUGAGGCGGAUCCAGGAGGAACUCAAACAGGAAGGCAGCCUGAGGCCCAUGUUCACCCCCUCCUCCCAGCCCACCACCGAGCCCAGCGACAGCUACCGAGAGGCCCCGCCGGCCUUCAGCCACCUGGCGUCCCCG
rnacentral:sRNA from 1 species